GUGUCAGCAGCCGCGGUAAUACAGAGGGCGCGAGCGUUGUUCGGAAUCACUGGGCGUAAAGCGCGCGCAGGCGGGACGACAAGUGGGGAGUGAAAUUCCGGGGCUCAACUCCGGGCCUGCUUUCCAAACUGUCGACCUGGGGACCGGUAGAGGCCGGUGGAAUUCCCGGUGUAGCGGUGGAAUGCGUAGAGAUCGGGAAGAACACCCGUGGCGAAGGCGGCCGGCUGGGCCGGAUCCGACGCUGAGGCGCGAAAGCGUGGGGAGCAAACAGGAUUAGAUACCCUGGUAGUCCACGCCGUAAACGAUGGGCACUAGGCGCUGGGGGGAGCGACCCCUUCGGUGCCGCAGCUAACGCGCUAAGUGCCCCGCCUGGGGAGUACGGCCGCAAGGCUGAA
rnacentral:rRNA from 1 species